CCUACGGGAGGCAGCAGUGAGGAAUAUUGGUCAAUGGACGAGAGUCUGAACCAGCCAAGUAGCGUGAAGGAUGACUGCCCUAUGGGUUGUAAACUUCUUUUAUAAAGGAAUAAAACGAGGCACGUGUGCCUUUUUGCAUGUACUUUAUGAAUAAGGAUCGGCUAACUCCGUGCCAGCAGCCGCGGUAAUACGGAGGAUCCGAGAGUUAUCCGGAUGUAUUGGGUUUAAAGGGAGCGUAGAUGGGUUGUUAAGUCAGUUGUGAAAGUUUGCGGCUCAACCGUAAAAUUGCAAUUGAUACUGGCAGUCUUGAGGAAAGUUGAGGUAAGCGGAAGUAGUGGUGUAGCGGUGAAAUGCUUAGAUAUCACGAAGAACCCCGAUUGCGAAGGCAGCUUACUAAACUGUGACUGACAUUGAUGCUCGAAAGUGUGGGUAUCAAACAGGAUUAGAGACCCUAGUAGUC
rnacentral:rRNA from 1 species